rnacentral:rRNA from 1 species
GAUGAACGCUGGCGGCGUGCUUAACACAUGCAAGUCGAGCGAGUGAGUUCUUCGGAACGAUCUAGCGGCGGACGGGUGAGUAACACGUGGGCAACCUACCUCAUAGAGGGGAAUAGCCUCCCGAAAGGGAGAUUAAUACCGCAUAAAAUUAUAGAGUGGCAUCACAUGAAAAUCAAAGGAGUAAUCCGCUAUGAGAUGGGCCCGCGGCGCAUUAGCUAGUUGGUGAGGUAACGGCUCACCAAGGCGACGAUGCGUAGCCGACCUGAGAGGGUGAUCGGCCACAUUGGGACUGAGACACGGCCCAGACUCCUACGGGAGGCAGCAGUGGGGAAUAUUGCACAAUGGGGGAAACCCUGAUGCAGCAACGCCGCGUGAGUGAUGAAGGUCUUCGGAUUGUGAAGCUCUGUCUUUGGGGACGAUAAUGACGGUACCCAAGGAGGAAGCCACGGCUAACUACGUGCCAGCCGCCGCAGUAACAC